CGCUAGCGGAAGGCUUAAUACAUACAAGUAGAACGGUAACAGAGGAGCUUGCUCCUGCUGACGAGUAGCGCACGGGUAAGUAACGCGUACGGAAUCUGCCCUAAUCAGGGGGAAAGUCGCUGGAAACGGCGAAUAAUCCCGCAUAAGACUACAGAGUCGCAUGGCUACAGGAGUUAAAACUUUGGUGGAUUAGGAUGAUCGUGCGUGCGAUUAGUUAGAUGGUGAGGUAACGGCUCACCAUAACGACGAUAGCUAGGGGGCGUAGAGAGCGUAGACCCCCCACACGGGUACUGAGACACGGACCCGACUCCUACGGGAGGCAGCAGUCAGGAAUAUUGGUCAAUGGCGGGAACUCUGAACCAGCCAUUCCGCGUAGCGGGAAGACGGCCCUACGGGUUGUAAACCGCUUAUAUCACGGAAGAAAUGCAGUCAUUAAUGACUGAGUUGACGGUACUUGAGGAAUAAGCACCGGCUAACUCCGUACCAACAGCCGCGGUAAUACGGAGGGUGCAAGCGUUAUACCGGAAUACACUAGGGUUUAAAGGGUACGCAGGCGGUACAAUAAGUCUGGCGUGAAAUCCCGUCGCUUAACGAUGGAAUUGCGUUGGAAACUGUUGUACUAGAAUACGAUCGAAGUAGAUCGGAAUACGUCAUGUAGCGGUGAAAUGCAUAGAUAUGACGUAGAACACCGAAAGCGAAGGCAGGUCACUAGGUCGAUAUAGACGCUGAGGUACGAAAGCGUGGGUAGCGAACAGGAUUCGAUACCCAGUAGUCCACGCCCUUAACGAUGUUUACUGGAUAUUUGGUCUAUUGAAGUUUGAGUAUCUGAGGGUAACCAUUUAGUAAACCACCUGGGGAGUACGUUGGCAACAAUGUAACUCUCAGGAAUUGAACGGGGGUCCGCACUAUCGUUGGAGCAUGUGAUUUAUCUCGAUGAUACGCGAGGAACCUUACCUGGGCUCGAACGCAACAAGACCGCACUUGAAAGGGUGCUUCUCUUCGGAGCUUGUAGUGAGGUGCUGCAUGGUCGUCGUCAGCUCGUGCCGUGAGGUGUUGGGUUAAGUCCCGCAACGAGCGCAACCCGUAUCUUUAGUUGCCAGCGAGUAAUGUCGGGGACUCUAGAGAGACUGCCUCCGCAAAGAGUGAGGAAGGGAGGGAUGACGUCAUAUCAUCAUGGCCUUUAUGCCCAGGGCUACACACGUGCUACAAUGGCGCAUACAGAGGGGAGCGAAGUCGCGAGACGGAGCGAAUCUCAGAAAGUGCGUCCCAGUUCGGAUUGGAGUCUGCAACUCGACUCCAUGAAGUUGGAAUCGCUAGUAAUCGCGCAUCAGCCACGGCACGGUGAAUACGUUCCCGGACAUGUACACACCGCCCGUCAAGCCAUGGGAGCUGGGGGUGCCUGAAG
rnacentral:rRNA from 1 species